rnacentral:rRNA from 1 species
AUUGAACGCUGGCGGCAGGCCUAACACAUGCAAGUCGAGCGGAUGAAGGGAGCUUGCUCCUGGAUUCAGCGGCGGACGGGUGAGUAAUGCCUAGGAAUCUGCCUGGUAGUGGGGGAUAACGUCCGGAAACGGGCGCUAAUACCGCAUACGUCCUGAGGGAGAAAGUGGGGGAUCUUCGGACCUCACGCUAUCAGAUGAGCCUAGGUCCGAUUAGCUAGUUGGUGGGGUAAAGGCCUACCAAGGCGACGAUCCGUAACUGGUCUGAGAGGAUGAUCAGUCACACUGGAACUGAGACACGGUCCAGACUCCUACGGGAGGCAGCAGUGGGGAAUAUUGGACAAUGGGCGAAAGCCUGAUCCAGCCAUGCCGCGUGUGUGAAGAAGGUCUUCGGAUUGUAAAGCACUUUAAGUUGGGAGGAAGGGCAGUAAGCUAAUACCUUGCUGUUUUGACGUUACCAACAGAAUAAGCACCGGCUAACUUCGUG